ACACAAGACACCUGGAGAUAUUGCUAAAAUGCAGAUUUUGAUUUGAUAUGUCUGGAGUGGGGCCCAGGUUCUGCAUUUCUAAUAAGCUUGCAGUGUUGCUGUA
rnacentral:pre_miRNA from 1 species